AUUGAACACUGGCGGCAGGCCUAACACAUGCCAGUCGAGCGGAUGAAGGGAGCUUGCUCCUGGAUUCAGCGGCGGACGGGUGAGUAAUGCCUAGGAAUCUGCCUGGUAGUGGGGGAUAACGUCCGGAAACGGGCGCUAAUACCGCAUACGUCCUGAGGGAGAAAGUGGGGGAUCUUCGGACCUCACGCUAUCAGAUGAGCCUAGGUCGGAUUAGCUAGUUGGUGGGGUAAAGGCCUACCAAGGCGACGAUCCGUAACUGGUCUGAGAGGAUGAUCAGUCACACUGGAACUGAGACACGGUCCAGACUCCUACGGGAGGCAGCAGUGGGGAAUAUUGGACAAUGGGCGAAAGCCUGAUCCAGCCAUGCCGCGUGUGUGAAGAAGGUCUUCGGAUUGUAAAGCACUUUAAGUUGGGAGGAAGGGCAGUAAGUUAAUACCUUGCUGUUUUGACGUUACCAACAGAAUAAGCACCGGCUAACUUCGU
rnacentral:rRNA from 1 species